GUAUUUUGGCAAAAAUUAUCCAGUAAGCCCUCUCUUUCGUCUUUGGUUCUUCGUGUCUAUAUUUUGCAAGAAAAUUGUCUUGUUUACUAAUUAUAUAAAAAUACAAAAUGAAGGCAUCCUUUUAUAGGUUAUUAUUUAAGCAAGAUGGAAACAGGGCUACUUGGGAGUACCCGUUCGCUGUUGCUGGUAUCAAUGUAUCUUUUAUGUUGAUUCAGAUGUUGGAUUUAUAUUCAGAAACACCAAAAAAUCUACCGGGAUACAAUUUCAUGAAACUAUUAGGAGGUAACAGAAACGAGGAUUUGAGUGCUUUAAGUUCAAGUGUGGUUGGAACUAUGAAGCCGACUUUAGUUUUUCCGGUUCUCGGUAUUCGGUCUCACGAUCUUGAAUGUUUGGGAUUUUGCAGAAGAUGAAGAAGCCUUCGACAUAUUAUAUUGUGUAGCUUUUGAAUUGAUGGAUGCUCAGUGGCUUGCUAUGCAAGCUUCCUACAUGGAGUUCAAUGAGGUUUUACAAGUAACACGCACGCAACUGCAGAGAGAACUGUCUUUGGAUGAUGUGCAUAGAAUACAAGAUUUACCAGCUUACAACCUGUUAUACAAGUAGCUCUGCUGUCAACACUACGAAGUCACCAAAA